rnacentral:pre_miRNA from 1 species
AGGAGUGUAGCUGGAUCAUAUAGUAAGACUAUGUUUGGCUUCAUAAGAAACUGCCAAACUGUCUUUGAAAGUGGCUGUACCAUUUUGCAUCUCCAUUGGCAAU